AUUGAACGCUGGCGGCAGGCCUAACACAUGCAAGUCGAACGAGUGGCGGACGGGUGAGUCAUGUCUGGGAAACUGCCCGAUGGAGGGGGAUAACUACUGGAAACGGUAGCUAAUACCGCAUACCAUCGGAUGUGCCCAGAUGGGAUUAGCUAGUAGGUGGGGUAACGGCUCACCUAGGCGACGAUCCCUAUCUGGUCUGAGAGGAUGACCAGAAACACUGGAAAGGAGACACGGUCCAGACGCCUACGGGAGGCAGCAGGGGGGAAUAUUGCACAAUGGGCGCAAGCCUGAUGCAGCAAUGCCGCGUGUAUGAAGAAGGCUGUCGGGUUGUAAAGUACUUUAAGCGAUGAGGCGUUACUCGCAGAAGAAGCACCGGCUAACUCCGUGCCAGCAGCCGCGGUAAUAC
rnacentral:rRNA from 1 species